rnacentral:lncRNA from 13 species
CCGACAUAGUCAGAUAGAAACAUCACACGUGCUUCACUUCAGGAUAAAAGCUCCAUACUCAUUGCAAGGCCUCCAAGUCCACGCCUAGCCAUUACAGCCUUGGUGACCUGCACAUACACCUCUGGAUGAUCCACAGGAGCCAAAGAGUCUGAAGUAACCACAAGUAACCAGGUGGCCACAGAAAGAAAUGAGACA